CUACGGGCGGCUGCAGUCGAGAAUCUUUCGCAAUGGGCGCAAGCCUGACGAAGCGACGCCGUGUGAGCGAAGAAGGCCUUCGGGUUGUAAAGUUCUUUCGCCGGGGAACAAGAAAGGGACGGUAAUACCGUUUUGAUUUGAGGGUACUCGGUAAAGAAGCACCGGCUAACUCCGUGCCAGCAGCUGCGGUAAUACGGAGGGUGCAAGCAUUGAUCGGAAUUACUGGGCGUAAAGGGCGCGGAGGCGGCAAGACAAGUCAGGUGUGAAAUUCCACGGCUCAAUUGUGGAACUGCAUUUGAAACUGUCCUGCUGGAGUGCAGUCAGGGAAAGCGGAAUUCCACAUGUAGCGGUGAAAUGCGUAGAUAUGUGGAGGAACACCGGUGGUGAAGACGGUUUUCUGGGCUGUUGCUGACGCUGAGGCGCGAAAGCCAGGGGAGCAAACAGGAUUAGAUACCCUUGUAGUC
rnacentral:rRNA from 1 species